rnacentral:ncRNA from 1 species
GAACUACCACCUGGGGAAGCGCUAGCUCAGAACCCCAGUAUCGAGUGUUGCAGGUUGUCCGGUAGCAGGCAGUUUGAACGUACACAGACAGGAAGCGAGGAUGAGAGGUACCAAGUAGCUGCCCUGCCCUGAUCGGUAUUGAGCUCCGAAAUUUGGUUACUGUCGGCUCCUGCCCAAGGUGUGUGCAUACUGGAAGGCAAUUGCAAGUGUCGCGUCGCGGGAGCGCC